rnacentral:rRNA from 1 species
GCACAAGCGGUGGAGCAUGUGGUUCAAUUCGACGCAACGCGAAGAACCUUACCUGGGUUUGACAUGCACAGGACGCCGGCAGAGAUGUCGGUUCCCUUGUGGCCUGUGUGCAGGUGGUGCAUGGCUGUCGUCAGCUCGUGUCGUGAGAUGUUGGGUUAAGUCCCGCAACGAGCGCAACCCUUGUCUCAUGUUGCCAGCGCGUUAUGGCGGGGACUCGUGAGAGACUGCCGGGGUCAACUCGGAGGAAGGUGGGGAUGACGUCAAGUCAUCAUGCCCCUUAUGUCCAGGGCUUCACACAUGCUACAAUGGCCGGUACAAAGGGCUGCGAUGCCGUGAGGUGGAGCGAAUCCUUUUUAAAGCCGGUCUCAGUUCGGAUCGGGGUCUGCAACUCGACCCCGUGAAGUCGGAGUCGCUAGUAAUCGCAGAUCAGCAACGCUGCGGUGAAUACGUUCCCGGGC